rnacentral:lncRNA from 1 species
GUAAACUUGGCGAAGCUUGACAAUGGGACAUUUUAUUUUGGUGUUUUCCGAUAUUAUCUUUCUUGUCAAAUGAUUGUUUUUAAAUGUUUGUUUAACUUUUAAAGGUGAGAUAUGGCGCUCCAUUUAUAAUAAAUAUGUACACAAGUCAAUUUAUGGGUGACUUAAGGAUUAUAUGUAAAUAAUAAUACGGCGAUAAGAUUAGCUCGGUGGCUUGGAGAUUAACUGAAGUUGUAUAGUGAUUUUGUCAAAUUUGUCAAUCAAUAUUAAUAUAUAUAGCAACCAGGAAUGAUAUUCUAAGCAGUGGGUUUAUGAUAAUUACUGCCAAUUUUAGGAAUGAUAUUCUAAGCAGUAGGUUCAUGAUAAUAACUGCCAAUUUUAGGACUUGACAUCAUAUAAUGGAACUUCAAGCAUUUUGAUAAGAGGGAAAAAGUGAAUAAUCCAGAAGGUAUGUAUUCUUUAGUAUUCAUGUCCUAUAAAAAGUAUGUUUGUUAAUCCAAAAUCUGAAGUACAGUAUCUUAUGGUCGGGGUUAAUUCCUAGGGGAUAAUAAGUACAGUAUCUUAUGGUUGGGGUUAAUUCCUAGGGGAUAAUAAGUACAGUAUCUUAUGGUUGGGGUGAAUUCCUAGGGGAUAAUAAGUACAGUAUCUUAUGAUGGUUGGGUGAAUUCCUAGGGGAUAAUAAGUACAGUAUCUUAUGGUUGGGGUGAAUUCCUAGGGAUAAUAAGUCAGGUAUGGUAUCUUAUGGGUGAAUUCCUAGGGAUAAUAAGUACAGUAUCUUAUGGUUGGGUGAAUUCCUAGGGAUAAUAAGUACAGUAUCUUAUGGUUGGGGUGAAUUCCAGGGAUAAUAAGUACAGUAUCUUAUGGUUGGGGAGAAUUCCUAAGGGAUAAUAAAUACAGUAUCUUAUGGUUGGGGUGAAUUCCUAGGGGAUAAUAAGUACAGUAUCUUAUGGUUGGGGUGAAUUCCUAGGGGAUAAUAAGUACAGUAUCUUAUGGUUGGGGUGAAUUCCUAGGGGAUAAUCAGAAGAUCGUAAUAGUGAGGUUCUGGAUCCGCUCGCUGUAUGAUGAGGCUAACGUAUAAAUGAUAGAUCUAACCGUUUCAAAAAUACAGAACGACAACUUUGAAACGAUGAUAGAGAUAUCUGACGAAACUUGAUUUUUUUUACUUUGAAAAACUGGUUUGUUUCUAAAAAAACAAAAUAGUACUAGAGCGUUUUUGUAAUAUGGGAUUGGAUUUGUACCUUCUGUUCCCUUUUGAUCAGUCCAGCACAGCAGUUUCCUCAUGUUUUGAAAAUUAUCAAUGUGGAUUUGUUUUUUGUUAUUUUUAGGAAUGGCGCUGUUCAAUUGGUUUUGAUUUAUGAGUUUGAAUGUUCCUUUGGUAUCGUUCGCCUCCUCCUUUUAUAUAAAAAGAAACAACAACGUACACGGAUCUUUAUAGUUAAAUUAACAACAUGUGCAAGGGGCUCAGAUCACAUAGGGGCAAACUGUUUUAAUCCAUUAUCCCUAUAAACCUUACUAAACAACAGAUACAUUUGUUGUACGGUUACUGAUAUUGUUAGUUAGGAUGGUAUGUCAAUGAAUCAAAUGACCUGACAGCAGUGUCACAAUGUUUAUGCUGCACAUUUCUUCAACUCAAAAAUAAGGAAACAGAUAUCUGAUAAAGAAUUCCUUAUAAGUUGCCGACACUUACAGUGUAAAUAGAGUUAAUGAAUUAGACCGUGACAAAAACAGUAGUACAUUUAUUUGAACAUUUAUAUAAACUGAUAUACAUUGAAGGAAAGAUCUCUAUAAUUAUAUUCAGUAAAAUCUUGCUCAAAACAGGUAAUAUAUCUGGGAUAUGUAAGGAACCUGUAACCUACAACACUGUCAUUUUCUUAAUUGUGAAUCUAUAUUAAUGUUUACUGAAAAACAAAUUAUAAAAAAAACCGCCGUACUAUUUUUCCAAAAUUAUUAGGGAGCAACCAUUUAACUUAAAAAAAGGGGGGGGGUAUGUUUUUUUGAUUCAGUCCAAGGUUGUUUUUUUUUUUGUCAUCAGCUUGACAAGGAUACUCUUUUUUCGUCAAAUUAGAAUUUUUUUUUUGAAAAAAAGCAUACCCCCCUUUGAAGUUAAAUGGUCGUACCCUUAGGCCUAUGUCUAUGUUUUUAUAAUUAUAGUGUAUUCCUAACAAUUCAAAAAGAAGUAAAUAAAAGUAUGUUCAGCUAUAACACGUCCGCCCCAAUCUGUUUAUCUACGGAUUUAAUGUAUAUAUAAUUACGACUUAAUGCUUCCAUAAUCAAACAUGUGUUUAAUCCUGAACAAACGACGAGUAGACAUAUUACGAUUCCUUAUUAUCCACCAAAUGUUUGCUUCACAUCACUGACUUCAGUCUAUUUACAUCGUUUGUACCUUGGUUCGUAUUUAAUUAUUACCGAAAAUAUAUAAUUUCUAUCAUAUAUUGUAUUGCUUUGCUAGUCUUAUUAAACUAUAUUAUUUUGACUUUUAAAAAGAACAGAUUAUAAGUCUUAGUAAUGUAUUAAAUCUCUGUUAUUUAUCUUUUUUUUCAUUUAUGAUUUGAAAGCGUAUGGAAACUAUUGCCGAAUAUGCAAUCAAAACAUAUAUAUUUAAUAAAGAACGUCUGGCAUGAAAAUUAAAUAGUCUUAUUCAUCAAACAUGUCAAAGAGUAAAUCUACACUUCGUCAUGAAUUAAACUUUUUCAAAACGUAUUCAUACGAUUUUGUACAGCUUUGCAAUAACCAAUGAUUACAUUGAGUAUGUAAAUAUGGCUCACAAAAUGCUGACAAAAUGAAAUAGAUAUAAGAAGGUGUGGUAUGAGUGCCAAUGAGAAAAUAGUCCAUCAGUUUCGAUGCCAAACAUCACAGUAUAUUUAAGUCUUAGCAUUAUUUAUGUUGAAUUUCAUUUGUUAUCCUGUAUCACAAUUGUUUUAAAUAUACUGUUAUGUUUGGAAUACAAAAUAUAAUUGCUAUAUGUUAACUUUAUUUCUAAGCUGGCACUCACAUUUAAAUAUUUUUCUAUCUUUGUGUUGGUAAAUAAAUGCAUUUGUCUUACAUUCAGGCUAAGACUAGAACUGUAACUUAUCAUUUGUUGAUUUGUACUCAUUCGUUCACUUGUUUAUGAUCCUUUUUAUAUUUCCAGUGAGAUAAUGCCGGGCGAUAUAUCAGGCCCAGAUUUACAACUAGCUAGACCAAAGACAAGUCCAGCAGCUAUUACUAGAACCGGAAGAAGAGGAAAAUCAAAACAGGAGGAAUCAACUCCGGAAUAUCAUGUUGAAUUACUUGAAUACGAAUGGCCUGAUUUACCACCGAUUCCGCAUAUGAAAGAUGCAAUAACAAGAGAGAAAGUAAGCAAGGGUAUCAGUUACCUCUUACCAAUUGAUAAAGCUAAAAACUCGAUUGAUAACAAAUACAGAACGGACCUCAGGGCCAUGUUUCAAGAGCCGUAUGCUAAUGACGACCUUGGAUACGAUGAUAGCAAGGUCAAACUUAGUGCGCAUGUACAUUUUGAUACAAAUGCCGUGGACACAAAAUGGUCAAAAUCUUUACUGAAGCAAAUACCUGUAGAAAUCAAUUCAGAUUCUGAUAAAUUUAGGAAAUUGUAUGCACGUUCAGCGCCAAUUGGGCGCUCAAAAACAAUGGGUUUGGAUACGGACAAAAUAAGAACCCGAUCAUGCCGUUAUCUACCAAUGAAAACAGUUCAACAUCCUGAAGCUAUGGAACUCCGACAGGAAGUAGAAAAAAUAAUCAGAACUGUAUAUAGUGAUAAUGAGGAUAGCGAUGUUGAGACGGAGGUGGGGGAUACCAACGCCUCCCGUCAUGGCAGGCGGUUUUCACUUUAUCCUAGACGAGUUUCUGAGUAUAGACCACGUUUAAAUACAGAAACUGAUAGCUACCAGUCUAUUAAGCCGCCACGUUUAAAACUAACAGCGGAUAAAUUUAAUAGUUAUGAACAAUUGAAAUUCACGAAACCACCUAAAGCAGUGAUACCGGAACUAUUUAUAUGUAAACAUAUUAAAAAAGAACGUGCUCAAGAAAUUUGGGAAUGGUUACAUUACGGGGAAGAAAUGUCAGAAUUUGAAUAUUUUCUAUCUGUAUGUGGGUAAAUAAAUGCAUUUGUUACAUAAAGUUUGUUGUGGACGACUUUUUCAGAAUGUAUAUGCAAAGUACACCAGAAAGUCCCAACCCAUAGCCCUCAUAUCCAUGGACUAUAUUGAAUGGGCAUUUAUCGUCAGUCUUAAAUUACAAUUUAAGGAUCAAAAUGGACAAGUACAUAUGCAUUCUAUUAAGUAGAAACUGAAACCUUUUCCAUGGAAAUGUGAGAUGCAGAUUCUAAAACAUAACUUAUGUAGUUUCCCAAAGGAAAAAGGAAACAUUCUUUAAAAGUAUAAAAAUCACUAAUGGUGGUAUUACUGUUUACUGUUUAUAGUACUUGAUUUUCUGCUGAACGUUAUAUAUAUUCUUCCAUCCCACUCAUUUUCUGCUUUACUGAUUCAUAUUUUGUUUGUACUGCGAGUUGUCU